CCUACGGGUGGCAGCAGUGAGGAAUAUUGGUCAAUGGGCUUACGCCUGAACCAGCCAAGUCGCGUGAGGGAAGACUGCCCUAUGGGUUGUAAACCUCUUUUGUCAGGGAGCAACGCCGGCUACGUGUAGCCGGACUGAGAGUACCUGAAGAAAAAGCAUCGGCUAACUCCGUGCCAGCAGCCGCGGUAAUACGUAGGAGGCAAGCGUUAUCCGGAAUGACUGGGCGUAAAGGGUGCGUAGGUGGUUUGACAAGUUAGUAGCGCAACUCCGGAGCUCAACUUCGGAACUACUACUAAAACUGUUGGACUUGAGUGCAGGAGGGGCAGUCGGAAUUCCUAGUGUAGCGGUGGAAUGCGUAGAUAUUAGGAGGAACACCAGUGGCGAAGGCGGAUUGCUAGACUGUAACUGACACUGAGGCACGAAAGCGUGGGGAGCAAACAGGAUUAGAUACCCUGGUAGUC
rnacentral:rRNA from 1 species